UUUAAAUCGGUGGCGUAUAACUAUAGGGAUUUAAGCGUUCCGACAUGAGUUUGGCGCCCCGUAUAACCCGGUACGAAGUCGAGCUUUUUCGUACGUUGUAUCAUGUUUUAUUUAUUCCGAACACUUCUCGCGGUCAUGAUAUUUUAUUACGAUAUACCUAUUGAAAACGAUAAAAAUGUAAACUGUUAUAAUUUUGACGUUCCGGGGAGAUUGUUUCCUCUACACAAACGCGAUUAGACCAGUAGACCACCGAUUUCGAGAGCGUUAAAAUUAUAGACACA